rnacentral:rRNA from 1 species
AACGAACGCUGGCGGCAGGCUUAACACAUGCAAGUCGAACGGUUGUAGCAAUACAGCAGUGGCGCACGGGUGAGUAAUACUUGGGAACGUGCCUUUCAGUCUGGGAUAACCACGGGAGACUGUGGCUAACACCGGAUACUCCCUCCGGGGGAAAGUUUACGCUGAAAGAUCGGCCCAAGCCAGAUUAGGUAGUUGGUGAGGUAAUGGCUCACCAAGCCUACGAUCUGUAGCUGGUCUGAGAGGACGGCCAGCCACACUGGAACUGAGACACGGUCCAGACUCCUACGGGAGGCAGCAGUGGGGAAUAUUGGACAAUGGGGGCAACCCUGAUCCAGCAAUGCCGCGUGAGUGAUGAAGGCCUUAGGGUUGUAAAGCUCUUUUACCGGGGACGAUGAUGACGGUACCCGGAGAAUAAGCCCCGGCUAACUUCGUGCCAGCAGCCGCGGUAA